AUAGCUUCUGAAUGGACUUUGAUUCACUAUUUCCCCAAAUCUUCAAUGACAAUAAUAAUUACAUGGUGUAUCAUUGCCCAAAGGAAAAGAAAUUUAGAGAAUCCAUUUGAAAGGAGCAUGAAGCCUAUGAUUUGUCCAUUUUGAUGGCUGCUGUUGUCAUUUUUUUUUCAUCAUUAAUGGAACAUCUCAAAUGAUUUUGUGACUUGUUUCCUUGAAUGAAUUUGCAGUUGCAGUGUGGAAGGAGGUCUGCAAUUUGAGCAGUUCUUUGGAGAUGGAAUUCUGGAGGUCCCUCAGUUCUAACAAUGGAUUAAAACACCGCCCUUUGAGUCUUCUCAGGAUCUUAAGGGGACUGAUAUGUUUAGUGUUUUUUCUUUCAACUGCAUUUAUGUUUUUAGUGUAUUUGGGACCUCUGGCUGCUGGCCUGAUGCGGCUGUUUAGCAUACGCUACAGUAGGAGAACAACUUCUUUCAUUUUUGGUCUUUGGCUAGCCUUGUGGCCCUUUCUAUUUGAAAAGAUAAACAAGACUAAAUUCAUUUUUUCUGGAGAAACUGUUCCUGAAGACCAGCGUGUUUUGCUUAUUGCCAACCACAGAACAGAGGUUGAUUGGAUGUAUUUCUGGAAUCUUGCAAUGCGGAAGGGUUGCUUGGGCUACAUCAAAUAUAUUCUAAAGAGCAGUUUGAUGAAAUUACCUGUCCUUGGUUGGGGAUUUCACCUUUUGGAGUUCAUAUCCGUGGAGAGGAAGUGGGAAGUUGAUGAGCCAAUUUUGCGCCAAAAACUGUCGACUUUUAUUAAUCCUGCAGAUCCCUUGUGGCUUGCUGUCUUCCCUGAAGGAACUGAUUUUACUGAAGAGAAGUGCAAAAGGAGUCAGAAAUUUGCAGCUGAAAAUGGACUGCCUGUACUGAACAAUGUGCUGCUUCCUAAAACGAGGGGUUUCUGUGCUUGCUUGGAAGUUCUAAGAGGAUCCUUGGAUGCAGUCUAUGAUGUGAGUUUUGCUUACAAACAUCAAUGCCCUAAUUUCUUGGAUGUGCUCUUUGGCGUGGAUCCUUCAGAAGUUCACAUGCAUGUUCGACGUAUACCUGUCAAUGAGAUCCCAGAGACUGAAAGUGAGGCUGCAGCUUGGUUGAUUCAUACAUUCCAGAUCAAGGAUCAGUUGCUCUCCGAUUUUAAUUAUCAUGGGCAUUUCCCCAAUCAAGGAACAGAAGGAGAAGUUUCUAUCAUGAAGUACUUGGCAAAUUUUUCAGUAGUGAUUGCUCUGACAGGCAUAUUUACAUUUCUUACCUUUUUCUCAUCCAUUUGGUUUAAGAUACACGUGAGUUUAGUUUGUGCAUAUAUUGCUUCUACUUUUUUUGAUAUUAGACCUUCGACUUUUCUAGGUUUGUUAAAUAAAGCUUCAAGAAAACGAAAUGAAUAGUUAUGCUGAAAGAUUUGUACAUGACCAAUAACAAGUUCUUGUUGUGAACUUGAUUGUGGAAUGUUUUGUGUCUCAGAAGGUGCAAAUGAUUCUUGUGACACUGGUUGGAUAUCUCAAAAGAAGUGGUCGGGUUUUGUUAAUUCAUCA